UAAUGGUUGGAGAUGAAAAAUUGCAAUGUAUCAUAUUUACCCAGUGAAAUUGGGAGUUUGAUCUCAUUAAACCGUUUGUUUCUUGAUGGAAAUAAUUUGUGUACGCUUCCGGAUAGCAUCGGUAACCUUACUCGCUUGCUUGAGCUAGGGAUGAACAACUGCAAUUUGUCACAUCUGCCCUGUGCAAUUUGGAAGUUGAACUCAUUAGUAUCCUUGUAUCUUAUUGGAAACAAUUUACGUACCAUACCGAAUGACAUCUGUAAGCUUACUUACUUGAGAACCCUCUACUUAAGUGGUUGUGCAAGGCUUCAAUCAAUUCCUGAGCUUCCUAAGAGCAUACGUAUAGUGACUGCAAUUGAUUGUGUUUCAUUAGAGAACAUUGAGUUAAAAUGGCUGGUUGGGGUUCAUCAUCCUGGGGCAAUCCUGAGAUUGAAAGGUUGCCAUAAAUUAGCCGAGAGCAAUUUUGUAAAUAAUGUCAUGAAAGCAGCCAUCCAGCAGGUCAAGGAUUUUCAUGCACUUGAGAGUCCUGCGAUCCAUGGUUUUGUAAGUCAUUCUGAAAUCCAUCUUACAUGGAGUGAGGUUCCCAGAUGGUUCGAGUACCAAAGUGAAGGAUCAUAUUUAUCUGUCAAGGUGCCGCCCCUUAUAAAUCGUAAAAUAUGGAGCUUGGCUGUAUGCAUAAUUUACAUUGGAUCCAAUUCCAAUGAAAAAUGCAAGCAAAUAGGUUAUUUUUGGCUUGAAUACCAUAUAAACAAAGUCUCGAGGAGAUCAAGUUUAUUUUAUUUUCCCGGUGAUGGUUUAUGUAGUGAAGAGCAGAUGUGCCUCGAAUUUGCGUCAACGAGUAAAUUAGAAGGCGGUGAUGAAGUGGAGAUCUUCAUAACAGAGUGUUGGUAGAUGCAAAUAAAAAAGUGUGCGGCUAAAUUAAUUUUUGAGGUUGAUGAGAAUAAUGCAGAUACGAAUGAUGAAGCAUUGGCUGACUACAUCUCAUCACCUUCCCAAAGUGCCAUCCAAGAAGAAGAGGAAGAAGUUGAUUAUCCAACCAAAAGAAGAAGAAGAAGUUGAUUCAACAGAUUAAUAACGAAACUUAAAGCAUUGGAAGCAAAAGGUCAUUUGAUGCGAGAGAGACUAGAUAUAAGACGAGCAAAACAUAGGAGAGAAAUGGUUGAGCUGCCUAUAGGUAGCCAGAAUGUAUGAAGUCUACAUCACUAAGGUUAUAAACUACUGAUUUUGGUUUUUUAUUGAUGUCGUCUUACCUUAGAUAUUGAAAUUGAGACCUUCAUUGAACUAGGAGAGGAUCUAAAUUCCAAGCAGACCCAAAUCCUCAUGCCUCAUAUGAAGUCAGCUUGGACGUACAAUUAUCCCUCCUCUGUCCAGAUUAGAGGCGACAUCUGGACCCACAUGUCUUCGUGAAGUUGUUUUGACAUGGUUUAGUUGAUUUUCGAGAGGUAUUAACAUGGGAUUGUUUAUCCAACCACUUAAAUUAUACCACCAAAUUGAAGGCCUAUUCCUAUUUACAAGUAAA